rnacentral:lncRNA from 1 species
AUUGAAGGGUUCAAAACUGAUGCUUCAAAAACUCAGUUUCAUUUCAUUAAUGCUCCCUGCACCCCUUUUACUUCAAUCAUGAAUUUUGUCAUAUAUCUAAAGUUCAUUAAUUCUCAUAUUUUGGGGUCUUGGCAGACAGUUUAAAAAUAAUCCCAUAGCCUUUGGAGCUUUGAUUUCAGAGGAUUCAUUCAGUGUGCUCUGAGGCUGUUGUGUAAGUACCGUGCUUGUUUGUCUGACAACAAGAACGAGUUUAAAUCAGAUCUUUUUCUUCAUUCUUUUUGUUUAAAUGCAUUUUCAUUGUCACUCUGCUGUGAAGCCAGGCAGACAAAGAUAAAAACAUUGCCAAUUGCAAAAUCCAGAUGUCGUGGAAACUUAAGUAGCCAUUUAAGUUGCUUCGUGACAAACACACAUACAUUAAAAUCAAGAUACUGAAAAUUAUUAUUCUCUUGUUCACCUAACUGAUGUGUCGAAGACAUUUAGAAGAAGAAAAAAAUUAAGCUUUCUACACACAUAGGUACAAUGUGAAAAGUUGGAGGUAAAGAAACCUAGCAAAAAUAACAGAAGAUUAAUUUUAUUCUUUUGAGAAUAAACAAUUACAGAAAAUUCCAGGCUGCUCCUAAAAAAAACACAGCUGACAUUCUUAUAGCAGUGUUAUGUAGUAGAUUACAUUUCCUAUUACCAGUCUGGCUAUAUUAUGACAUUAUUAAUUUCUAUCUAUAGAUUGCAGAUAAUACAUUAUAAGAAGGAAAUCUAACAAAGGAGGUCAUGAUAUUUAGGAUAAUGUAGAGGAGGAAAGCACAGGUAAAGGUAGGAGGUGAAAGAAAAACCAAAUUUCAAAGCUGCAUUUUUUGUUGCCGGGGUUUUCUUUUUGUUUGGUUUGGAGUUGUUUGGGCUUUUUUUUUUGUUUAAAAAUGGAACUCAGACAUUUUGUCCAAGUUCAGUACACAGAGAUUCCCCACGAGAACUGUUGUUACUCCUCUGCCAGAAAUAUCAGAUAUUUCUCUGCAGCUCUUCUUCCUCCUCCCGGUCAGCCCCUGUGAUCUCAGAUUCAUCCUCCAGGGGCAAAGAGCAGAGCCAGUCUUGGUAACUAGACUGCACCAGAGAAGAGAUGCCAUGUCAGCAAUCCAUCGAGGAAAAACACCCUCAGGAAACAGGAGACAUCUCUACCCCAAAAUUGCUACAAGAUGCAUUACUUGGUUUCCAAGGUCUCGUCUGAAAAGAAAACCCGCUGCAGCUCCACUGAGGUCUACAGAAUGCCUUGUGAAGAUUAGGUCUUGUUAAAUCCAUUUAACAUAGAAGAUGACACAUUGGAAAGCUGAAUACCUUGCCCAAGUAUUCCCAUCUAGCCUGGGGUCAUUCUCCUGCCAAGAGUUAGAGAGCACAGGACUUGGCACCAGC